CCUCGGGGAGCCCGCCAGAGGUACAAACUCUUAUCUUUCUAGAAAAGUCUUCUGAGUAUCUUGAAAAAUCAAGUAAAAACUUUCAACAACGGAUCUCUUGGUUCUGGCAUCGAUGAAGAACGUAGCGAAAUGCGAUAAGUAAUGUGAAUUGCAGAAUUCAGUGAAUCAUCGAAUCUUUGAACGCACCUUGCGCCCUGUGGUAUUCCGCAGGGCAUGCCUGUUUGAGUGUCACGUAAACCCUCACCCAAGUGAUGUUACAGUUGCUUGUGGUGGACUUGGAUGUUGCCGUAAUUGGCUCAUCUUGAAAUGCAUUAGCUGUGCAUCCAUUAGCGUGCGCGUGAGUCUUCGUGAUAAUUAUUUCGAUGUGCUCUAGCCGCUUCCAGUGGUGCUGCUUCCAAUGGUCCCUCGUUGGACAACCAAAACUUUAAGCUUUGGCCUCAAAUCAGGUAG
rnacentral:rRNA from 1 species